CGGGUCCUACGGGGGGCAGCAGUAGGGAAUCUUCCACAAUGGGCGCAAGCCUGAUGGAGCAACACCGCGUGAGUGAAGAAGGGUUUCGGCUCGUAAAGCUCUGUUGUUGGAGAAGAACGUGCGUGAGAGUAACUGUUCACGCAGUGACGGUAUCCCACCAGAAAGUCACGGCUAACUACGUGCCAGCAGCCGCGGUAAUACGUAGGUGGCAAGCGUUAUCCGGAUUUAUU
rnacentral:rRNA from 1 species